CCCUUAGAUGUUCUGGGCCGCACGCGCGCUACACUGACGAAUGCAACGAGCUUAUAACCUUGGCCGAAAGGUCUGGGUAAUCUCCAAAUUUCGUCGUGAUGGGGAUAGAUUAUUGCAAUUAUUAAUCUUCAACGAGGAAUGCCUAGUAAGCGCAAGUCAUCAGCUUGCGUUGAUUACGUCCCUGCCCUUUGUACACACCGCCCGUCGCUCCUACCGAUUGGGUGCUCCGGUGAAUUGUUUGGAUUGCUGUCAGUCUUUUCGACCGUCGGCCAGAAGCUCUGUGAACCUUAGCACCUAGAGGAAGGAGAAGUCGUAACA
rnacentral:rRNA from 1 species